GACGAACGCUGGCGGCGCGCCUAACACAUGCAAGUCGAACGAGCGAAGAGGAGCUUGCUUCUCUGAGCGAGUGGCGAACGGGUGAGUAACGCGUGAGGAACCCGCCUCAAAGAGGGGGACAACAGUUGGAAACGACUGCUAAUACCGCAUAAGCCCACGGGUCGGCAUCGACCAGAGGGAAAAGGAGCAAUCCGCUUUGAGAUGGCCUCGCGUCCGAUUAGCUAGUUGGUGAGGUAAUGGCCCACCAAGGCGACGAUCGGUAGCCGGACUGAGAGGUUGAACGGCCACAUUGGGACUGAGACACGGCCCAGACUCCUACGGGAGGCAGCAGUGGGGAAUAUUGCACAAUGGGGGGAAACCCUGAUGCAGCGACGCCGCGUGGAGGAAGAAGGUCUUCGGAUUGUAAACUCCUGUUGUUGAGGAAGAUAAUGACGGUACUCAACAAGGAAGUGACGGCUAACUACGUG
rnacentral:rRNA from 1 species